CAACAAUAGUCAUGCCCCUUAUGACCUGGGCUACACACGUGCUACAAUGGUUGGUACAACGAGUUGCGAGUCGGUGACGGCGAGCUAAUCUCUUAAAGCCAAUCUCAGUUCGGAUUGUAGGCUGCAACUCGCCUACAUGAAGUCGGAAUCGCUAGUAAUCGCGGAUCAGCACGCCGCGGUCGAAUACGUUCCCGGGCCUU
rnacentral:rRNA from 1 species